rnacentral:rRNA from 1 species
GACGAACGCUGGCGGCGUGCUCACCCCUGCAAGUCGAACGGAAAGGCCCUGCUUUUGUGGGGUGCUCGAGUGGCGAACGGGUGAGUAACACGUGAGUAACCUGCCCUUGACUUUGGGAUAACUUCAGGAAACUGGGGCUAAUACCGGAUAGGAGCUCCUGCUGCAUGGUGGGGGUUGGAAAGUUUCGGCGGUUGGGGAUGGACUCGCGGCUUAUCAGCUUGUUGGUGGGGUAGUGGCUUACCAAGGCUUUGACGGGUAGCCGGCCUGAGAGGGUGACCGGCCACAUUGGGACUGAGAUACGGCCCAGACUCCUACGGGAGGCAGCAGUGGGGAAUAUUGCACAAUGGGCGGAAGCCUGAUGCAGCAACGCCGCGUGCGGGAUGACGGCCUUCGGGUUGUAAACCGCUUUCGCCUGUGACGAAGCGUGAGUGACGGUAAUGGGUAAAGAAGCACCGGCUAACUACGUG